rnacentral:lncRNA from 1 species
GUGGGAGAGAAUGAGUGAAUGGCCUCUUUUCUUUUACCUUUUUCUUUUUUUGUUUUAUUCAGCAUGUGGUGAGGAAUGAGAGUGGAAGAGUGGAAUGUGAGUGGGCACGUGGAAGAGAGACGUUGGAGUGGAUCUUCUUUGGACCUUUUAGAAUCCAAUGUAAAAAAUAUAUAUUUUCCAUAAUUAUUAUUCAUUUAAAUAACAAAUAAAAAAACUAACUAAUAUUUAAUUUAACCGCAUUCUAAUUAUUUUAAUUAAAUAUCUAACCAAAAAUAUUGACCCAUUAAAAAUAGAAAUCGAGUACAAAUUUGUUCGAAAAAAAUGAACCGGUCACACUAAAAUUGUCAGGACAAAAAAUACUUAUUAAAAAAUGCAGCCUUUC